rnacentral:rRNA from 1 species
CCUACGGGCGGCAGCAGUGGGGAAUAUUGCACAAUGGGGGAAACCCUGAUGCAGCGACGCCGCGUGAGCGAUGAAGUAUUUCGGUAUGUAAAGCUCUAUCAGCAGGGAAGAAAAUGACGGUACCUGACUAAGAAGCCCCGGAUAACUACGUGCCAGCAGCCGCGGUAAUACGAAGGGGGCAAGCGUUAUCCGGAUUUACUGGGUGUAAAGGGGGCGUAGACGGUCCUGCAAGCCAGAUGUGAAAGCUCGGGGCUCAACCCCGGGACUGCAGUUGGAACUGUAAGGCUAGAGUGUCGGAGAGGCAGGCGGAAUUCGUAGUGUAGCGGUGAAAUGCGUAGAUAUUAGGAGGAACACCAGUGGCGAAGGCGGCCGACUGGAGGAUGACUGACGUUGAGGCUCGAAAGCGUGGGGAGCAAACAGGAUUAGAUACCCUGGUAGUC